UACGUAGGGGGCUAGCGUUGUCCGGAUUUAUUGGGCGUAAAGAGCGUGUAGGCGGCCAGGUAGGUCCGGUGUGAAAACUCGAGGCUCAACCUCGAGCCUGCAUUCGAUACUGGGCGGCUAGAGUCUGGUAGGGGGAUCUGGAAUUCCUGGUGUAGCGGUGGAAUGCGCAGAUAUCAGGAGGAACACCGGUGGCGAAGGCGGGAUCCUGGGCCAGUACUGACGCUGAGGAGCGAAAGCGUGGGGAGCAAACAGG
rnacentral:rRNA from 1 species